CAUGAAGCUGGAAUCGCUAGUAAUCGCGAAUCAGAAUGUCGCGGUGAAUACGUUCCCGGGUCUUGUACACACCGCCCGUCGCACCAUGGGAGUCGGAAAUGCCCGAAGUCAGUGACCCAACCACAACGUGAACUUCGUUCGCGUGGAGGGAGCUGCCGAAGGUGGAGCCGGUAACUGGGGUGAAGUCGUAACAAGGUAAC
rnacentral:rRNA from 1 species